rnacentral:rRNA from 1 species
UACGUAGGGGGCGAGCGUUGUCCGGAAUCAUUGGGCGUAAAGAGCGUGUAGGCGGACUGGAAGGUCUGGUGUGAAAGCCCGGGGCUCAACCCCGGAGGGUCACUGGAAACCAACAGUCUUGAGUCCCGAAGAGGAGAGUGGAAUUCCUGGUGUAGCGGUGGAAUGCGCAGAUAUCAGGAGGAACACCGGUGGCGAAGGCGGUGGUCUGGGCCGGAACUGACGCUGAGGAGCGAAAGCGUGGGGAGCGAACAGG